AACCGCGAACAGAUGUAGGGCCUGGACGCCGACACUUAAGAAGGUGGCGCCGGGGAGGUACGCGGUCCACGGAACGUCGGCGGACGGCAGUCUCAUCGAGACCAGGAGCCAAAUUGCGCCAAACCCAAGGCCGACUGCAAGAGUCGCCAUCAAGCCCGGGAGUCCGCCUGUGCUUGCACGGACCCACCCGGCCCCGGCCGUCAGGGCAGCCACGACGAUCGGCGCAAUCAGGACCACGGCGAGUGCGCGUGGGGCACCGCGGAGCGAUUCAGCUUUCACUCCCCAGGCGGCCGCGUGGACAAGACGGACUGCGCGGAGAAGGCCCCAGCUGAACCAGAUGAAGGAGACC
rnacentral:misc_RNA from 1 species